ensembl:lncRNA
CAAAGAAUAGAGAAAAAGAGCCUAACACUGAGAUCCCCCUGGCUCACAGGGACACUGCAGCCAUCCGAGCUCAGCAUUGCAGGGGUAGCUGUUCUUGCAGCCUGACAUACGCACCAGAGAAUUACCAGGUCUGACCUAGCCCAAUAGUUGCAGCAUUCUUCUCCCACCACCACUACAAAAUGAGUUGCUGAUUGGACCCACAUCAGGCAGUUGUCUGUUUUUCUUGUGGUGGAGCCAAGAUGGAAGGGGAUACUGACAUUUCUCUUAGGGACUGACUUGCAGAUGUCAUUCGCAUGAAAAUUCACCCAUCCAAACUUUACUCCCAUUUCUACUUUGUGCUGCUUCCUGUUAAAUGUCUCCAAAAUAGUGAUGAUGGUUUCAUCUUGCUGUGUUCAUCUUGGCCAGGAGAGCUGGUUUUAUCACAUCUGUAUUUUAACCACAGCCCCAGCUGAAACUAAAAUAUAUUUAAAAAGUAAAAGUAAAGCUGGAUUAACAGCAGUGGAGAUAGAUUUGUGCAAACCCAGUGCAGCUGAAAUUAGAAUCAGGCUUGCUAUGUUUUAUAACAAAGGUAAACGUGUCCUCUUUUUUCAUGGUGCUGGCAAACAAAACAUGUCUGACUCCAUUGGUCAGGCAAAGCAAUUACAUCUCUGAGGUGCUCUGAGAAGAGGCAGGCAAGAAAUGAAUAUGCUGAAGGCAGUUCAAAUUCCUUGAUGUUGAUAUGCAUUGCUGGGCAGCAAAAUGGAUACAUUUUCCUAUGGAUAAAGAACAAAGAAAGCAAGACAGUAAAAAGAGGAAUCUCUCAGCAGAUCCAGGACCAGCACGUCACUCCCUUCCCCACAUUUUAUGAGUGGUUUUGCUCAGUCUGUUUUCACUGUCCUACAUAAUUUCCCCUUUGAAAGUACUGCCAAAUUAUCCUACAGCUGUUAAGGACUAGUGGGCUAUCCCUUCAAGAGAAAGGUUAACAGAGAAUAUCCGUUUAUGUUGCUCACUAAUUAUACCCAAGACAAAAGUAAGCACAACUUAUGAUAAAAAACACCCUCACCUGUAUUACCAACAUCUAUCACCAGGACACAUCCUGACCUUCAGUUCUUUGCAGAUGGUCCUGGAAUGAGCUGUUCCCUGAACUCACUUUCAGUUCCUCACAUAAAGCCCACAUCUCUUUAAGAAGGCCAGAACCCAAACUCAGCUGCACUGGAUGAACCUGGAAGAAGUAAAGUGCAAAAGGCAGACCUUGGCCAGAGUACAUCCCACCACAUGCACUCAGUGUUAGGCCUAUAGUGCACCCAGGGAGAGGGAAGAAGAACAAGUUGGUCCAAUUUCAGCCCACGUGGUGGAUUCCUGUUUCCCAGGGAAAUUCUCAUCGUAUCCGAAUAGAUUUUCUUCCUGGCUGAAAUGUGGUGUGCACAGCUGCUAAGGGUCUGCUCUGCUGGGCUGUGAAAGGUCUCUGCAGCAAACCUCCAAACAAGCAAGGUGUGCUGGCAGGGUUAUGCUCCCAAGAUGCUGUAACUUUCGUUGUAUAGUAUUGUUAUAGUGUUCUUUUCUUUCUCUGUGAUGACAAUAGUACUUGAAGUCUCUGAACUGUCCCUGAAUGUCAUCCAGAGUUAAAUUCAGAACCUUGUGUCAGAAGCUGGAAGAGGAAGCCACAGGUAUUUCAGGAUACUGUAAUGUCUGUGCCUGGUUCUGCAUUGCUAUCUUCUGCAGAUAGAUGUGCAAAACAGGAAGCGGAGGACUGUGCUCCAUUCCACUCUGCCAUGAAUAACCGCUCCCUGAACGGGUGAGGCAAUACAAGUCGUGCUACUAAACCUCUAACAGUUUCAGAAGAAUAGUUUGGAUGGAGCUUGGUUCAAUCAUCUCAGCUGCCAUGACUUCUAAGACAAGGUCCUGUGUUACCGUACCAAAGGCAGACAGCAGCAAAAGGAAUCAGACAGAUUCAUCACACCACAGGCUCAUUCCUGUUGUGCACCACAGCAUGCCACUGUGCUGAGCAUCACCACUCUAUGAAUUUUAGUAAGCAUGAAAAAUAAAGAGCAGAGAGACAAACAGGUGUGCUAACGCCUUGAUCACAAUAUAUAAGAAUCAUAGAAUGGCCUGGGUUGAAAAGGACCACAGUGAUCAUCGAGUUUCAACCCCCCUGCUUUGUGCAGGGUCACCAACCACCGGACCAGGCUGCCCGGAGCCACAGCCAUAGCUUUCGUACAUCCCACAGAACAUCCCAAAAACACUUUAGGGAUUUCAGAUCUGCUACUGCCAAACAUACCAUUCUUCAGAGCACGCAAACCAAGAGCACUGUGCAUGACAAUGAGGAAAGAACCAGAUCUCUCCUAGCAAGUGGACAGCUGUGGCAGAACUAGGAGUCAUGGAUCGCCAGGGACGUGGCAGGAGCCUGCAAGGUGUACUACAGCUGAGAACAGUCACUGGGAACACAAGAAAGCAAGCCACAAAACGUGCUGACUACAGUAUGAGGGUUCUCAUCCUGAAAACAUACUGCACACAUUUUGCACUGAGGAUUAGCCCUGCUGAUAUAGUUAAGAACAUUUCCAACAUUUUAACUUAAAGAUAAUUUCAUAGUUUGCAAAUUCAGGAUCUGUGCUACCUGCCUGAAUGCUCACGGAGGAUUUCCUGAGGUUUCAUUCAUAAAAAAUAUACAUAUAAUUUUUAGCUACCCAGUGAAAACAGUCAUAUUCCUAUGCAUGGAGUAUUUCCAAAUCUGCCAACUUCUCUUUUCCUUUUUCAGUGCAUUCUCUGCAUUAAUCCAGAAAAACCCAUCCAGCAGUAUUUUAUUCAUGCCUGGACAACAGUUCAGAUCCUUAAGUUGGAAACUGUUGUUGAAAAAUGUUGUCUAGUGCCAGCUGAGCUUCUGGAAGGGCAGGGAAUUCCCCACUGAAAGGGAAAGGCACUGCUUUCAGACCUCCCCUCCCUAUCUGCCUCCAGGAAGUGAAGCUCAUUAUGUUUCCCCUGGACUUCGCAAAGCAGAAUCAUCAUCAUCUUGUUUUGUAAAGUAUGUUUUGUGUCAGGUUAACAUUACUCAACUUCUGGGAUGGUUGAAAACACAGAGAGAAUGCACAAAGGACUUUACGUUCCAGAAGCUUCUCCAUUCAAAUCUCUGAAUGCACAGAACAUAGUCAGGGUUAUUAUAGGAAACUAAAAACUAAUGAGUCACUUCUUUAAUGUUAGUGUUGAAUGUAUACUGCAGUUUGUUCAUACAGGAAAUAGUCUGCCCCAGACUGGAGCCAUGAAGGAGCAGAUGUAGUUCAGCCAAAGAGACACUGACACGUAAGCAGUUUCUGUUGUGCCUGAAUUGAGACUGAAGAACAAAACACACAGAGAUUCUGCUGUGCUUUUUAGCAAUGGAGAGAAGCAGCCUUCCCUGCAAGAAGUAAUGGUGGGUGGCCUCAGCCACUCCUCUGGGAAUAGAUCCUGGAUACAGAACUGAAGCAUCUCAGAACUAUGCUGGUUCAUGCAAAGCACUGCAAGUCCUCCACACAAGGUAACUUUCUCCGGAACAGAUGUCCUUUGUGGGUGCACACCAGGCUGCACAUUUGCAGUUUAAAGGCAUUGUGGAACAGUUAGAUCAUCUGUGUGUGGCUGACUGCAGGAAGGAGAGUUGUGUCCAUCAUGAACUCACUCUCUUCAUUGCUGUCUGACCCAAGUGUCAGCUGUACAUCAAAUGGGAACUAAUGCAUGUAGACUGGGAAAACGUGAGAACAAGGAGAGCUCCCAGUGUCCCUACCUGGAGGCAUGGCCCAUCCCAUUCAAUGGUGAGGCUGUUCCCUUUAAUUGAUCUUUGUUUCUUCUGAACAGGAAAGGCUUUUAUUUAACUACUUUUAGUAUUCACUGUGCCAGAUUUCUUUAUGGUACAAAUUGAGCUCUAUAUUUAAAGAACUGUUAGGAAACCAAUUCCAGGAUAAGACUGAAACGCCAUCUCGUUGAUGACUUAUUCUGCACGCAUCCAGAAACCCAACAACAAAGCACUCAAGCUGGCAUUACACUUUCAGCUACGCACUCAGCUUCAGAUGGGCCAAAGGAGAGGUUAAUCACCAGAUAACACAAUUGUCCUGGGAAGUAUUCCAGCAUAUGCCUGUUGCUAAGUGCCAGUACAGUUACCUCCUGCUUGAGUUCCUGCUGAAAGCUUUCCUUCCUCUGUCCCCACUGCCUGCUGCUCUCCCAUCCUGGACCUUUGAGUGCACAGCCUGCAGGUUUACUGCCCUGAAUGUGCCAUGGGCUCUGCCUCCCUGCCUGGGAGGGCAGUGAAGUGCUGCUCAGGGUGCGGUGAACAGACAGCUGUGUCUGGGGGCUUAAUAAUAUGAUUUCAUGUUACACAUCAAACAAGAAUGCAGUAAUUCAGCAACUCUAUUUUAUGCAUCUAAAGGAAACCAGAUGAAGCUCUGCAAUUUUUUUUGAAUCUCCAGAUUCCUUCUGCAAGUCACCUCAUUUCC